rnacentral:rRNA from 1 species
AGAGUUUGAUCCUGGCUCAGAUUGAACGCUGGCGGCAUGCUUUACACAUGCAAGUCGGACGGCAGCGGGGUAGUGCUUGCACUACUGCCGGCGAGUGGCGAACGGGUGAGUAACAUAUCGGAACGUACCGAGCAGUGGGGGAUAACUAAUCGAAAGAUUAGCUAAUACCGCAUAUAUUCUGAGGAAGAAAGCAGGGGACCUUUGGGCCUUGCGUUAUUCGAGCGGCCAAUAUCUGAUUAGCUAGUUGGUGGGGUAAAGGCCUACCAAGGCGACGAUCAGUAGCGGGUCUGAGAGGAUGAUCCGCCACACUGGGACUGAGACACGGCCCGGACUCCUACGGGAGGCAGCAGUGGGGAAUCUUCCGCAAUGGGCGAAAGCCUGACGGAGCAACGCCGCGUGAGUGAUGACGGCCUUCGGGUUGUAAAACUCUGUGAUCCGGGACGAAAAGGCAGAGUGCGAAGAACAAACAGCAUUGACGGUACCGGAAAAGCAAGCCACGGCUAACUACGUGCCAGCAGCCGCGGUAAUACGUAGGUGGCAAGCGUUGUCCGGAAUUAUUGGGCGUAAAGCGCGCGCAGGCGGCUUCCCAAGUCCCUCUUAAAAGUGCGGGGCUUAACCCCGUGAUGGGAAGGAUACUGGGGAAGCUGGAGUAUCGGAGAGGAAAGUGGAAUUCCUAGUGUAGCAGUGAAAUGCGUAGAUACUAGGAAGAACACCGAUGGCGUAAGGCAGGCGACUGGGAUAUUUCUGACGCUAAGGCACGAAAGCGUGGGUAGCGAACCCGGAUUAGAUACCCGGGUAGUCCACGCCGGUAAACGAUGGAUGCUAAUUGUUUGAGGUAUCGACCCCUUCGAGUUAUAAGCUUACGCGUUAUGCAUCCCGCCUGUGAGUACCGGCCGCAAGGCUUAAAACCUAAGGAAUUGACGGGGACCCGCACAAGCGGUGGAGGAUGUUCUUUAAUUCGAAGUUAAGCGAAGAACCUUACCAGGGCUUGACAUCCCUAGAACUUUUUCGAAAGAAAAAGGUGCCUUCGGGAGCUAGGUGACAGAUCCUGCAUGGCCGUCGUCAGCUCGUGUCGUGAGAUGUUUGGUUAAGUCCAUCAACGAGCGCAACCCUUGUCGUCAGUUGUAUUUUUCUGGCGAGACUGCCCCGGUAACGGGGAGGAAGGAGGGGAUGAUGUCUGGUCAGUAUUGGUCUUACGCCCUGGGCUAGAAACGUCCUACAAUGGUCGGUACAAUGGGCAGCCAACCCGUGAGGGGGAGCAAAUCCCAUCAAAGCCGGUCUCAGUUCGGAUUGCAGGCUGAAACUCGCCUGCAUGAAGUCGGAAUCGCUAGUAAUCGCAGAUCAGCACGUUGCGGUGAAUACGUUCCCGGGUCUUGUACAUACCGCCCGUCAAACCAUGAAAGUCAGGAGCACCCGACGUCCGGAUUUAUUUCGGCCUAAGGUGAGCUUGGUGAUUGGGGUUAAGUCGUAACAAGGUAACC